AUGCCAUGAGUCUGGGAUGUGGCUCAAAUAUCUGUAUUGCUAACCCAUUACCAAGUGAUGCCAACAUUCUGAUGCUGAUGCUGUAGAUGUAGGGACCUCACUGAGAGAACUGUUGACACAAGCCAGUGAUGCCAGAAGUAGAGUGAGCCACAUGCCAGGUUGUUGGACCUCUACGUAGAGUUGUUCUUUGACAGCCAUUCACUGCAGCUUCUCUCCCACACAUGCCAGGUUAUCUAUCUGAGUCUUCCUUUGUCGAGUACUGAAGGGUCUAAGGCUUACCCUACUUGCAGACUAACCUGUUAGACUACCACAGAUUCCCAGGUGCUGGCAGAGGAUGUGAGAUACCUGGGUCAGAGACAAAGGACAGGUUAUAGAUUCCAGCCAGAGCAGCAGCCAGAGUAUCAGCAUUUCCACCAGUUCUCCCAGUGCCAGUUCCCACAGAGUGAUGCCAAGAGGGCUGGAGGAUGCUUGGCCCCAUGAUGGGCUGUGGCACAGGAGAGGCGCCCUGCACUUAGGGAACCUGAAUCUUUUGUAAUGGGCAGUAAGCCUACCUGACUUUUGCCUAGGAGGGAGAUACUUCUUUAUUCUACUGACACUAAAAAACACACUUGCUCCAAGGGUAGACACUGUUCUCAUAUAUCAAGGCUGUUUGCCAUACAAACAUUCUGAAAACCAGGGUCUGGAACAAAGGCAUCCUGUGCCUCUUCUCUCAAGAUGUGCAGAAACCUAAAAGGCCAAUGAAGAAUCGUCUCCAAACACACUUGCACUCCUACCAACACUUCUUUUUGAAAAUUGCCAAGAGCCAAAAUUCCUUGAAGGCCACAAUGGUAGGCAGAAUAAUGCCUACCCCACCCCAAGGCAUUCACAUUCUCCUCCCUAGAACCUAUGAAUAUAUUACCUGACAUGGUGUAAUAGUCUCUAGGGGCUCCCAUAACAAAAUAUCAUAAGCUGAAAACAUUAGGCACUAAUUUUAUUGGACUUUUGGAGGCUAGAAGUCUAAAGUCAAGGUGUUGGCAGGGCCACAGUCCCUCUGAAGCUUGUAAGGGAGGACCCUCUCUUGCCUCUUCUAACUUGUGAUGGCUCCUGGCAUUCCUCGGCUUGUAGAUACAGCACUUUGCUUCCAUUUCCACAGUGUGCUCCCUGUAUGUUGUGUCUUCUUAUAUGACACCAGUCAUAUUGGAUGAGAAGCCCACUCUACUUUACUGUGACUUCAUUUUAACUAACUACAUCUUCAAUGACCCUGUUUCCAAACAAAGUCACAUUCUCAGGUACUGGAAGUUGGAACUUCAAUGUACCAUUUUUGAUUGGGGGGCACACAAUUCAAUUCAUAACACAUAAAAAAAUUCAUAACACAUGACACAGAGGACUUCACGUUGCCAAUCAAAUCGACUUUAAAAUAAGCCGAUUAUCCUGGAUUAUUUGGGUGGACCCAAGGUAAUCACAAUAUUCCUUAGAAGUGGAAGAGGCAAGUGAAACAGCCGAUCAGAGUGAUGAAAUAGGAGAAGGACUCAACUCACCACUGCCGGCUUUGAAGACAGAGAGGGGAUCAGCAACCAAGGAAUGUGGGCAGCCUCUAGAUGUGGGAAAACACCAGGUGUCAGAUUCUCCCCUAGAGCCUCCAGAAAGAUGCUCAGCCUUGCUGACAGCUUGAUUUCUACCCAGUGAGGACUACCAACUUACAGAAAUGUAAGUUAAAGAAGAAAUAUAAACGUCAUUCAUUGUUUGAAAGAGGACAGAGAAAACAUUUAUCAAGUGUCUUUGCAGCCAGACAGAUAACACAAAGGUAUGAAAUGACCAUCAGGCCAUGCAGCACAGUGAGGACCAUGAUGAGCAGGAGCCUGAAGAUAAUAAAUACAGAUUCUCACCCAAAUUUUAGAAACUGUUCUGUGGAUGUAUGCCGAGAUUACAAACACACACGCCCUUUGACUCGGUGAUGCCACUCCCAGGAAGUGUGUGAAACAGCCCAAUGACCAUCAAUCCUGACUGAUCCCAGAGAGGAACUGGAGCUCAGAAUGUGAAGAAAGGUCAUCGAUAUUGAGAAAGACCAUAAGAGGAGAGAAAUCGCUGCGAGGGAACCAGCACAAGAUUCUACCAAGAUUAGGCCAAAGACAUCUUCAGAUACCCCUGGUAUCUGGCCUUCAGGCCUUUGGGCUGGGCCUCCUCAUGGGACUCACACAGCUGUGAGGCAGAAAUACCUGCCUGGGGCACCUGGGAGGCUCAGUCAGUUAAGCCUCUGCCUACCUCUGGGGUUUCUGAUCUCCAGGUCCUGGGACGGAGCCUUGAGGAUAGAGCCCUGCC